rnacentral:lncRNA from 1 species
CCUAUGUCGAGCAAGCAAAUAAACAUCCCGACUUCGGCACACUGCCAACGGGAUCGGGGUCGUUUUCCGAUAAUUGACGCGGGGACUGUCGAACUGCCCUGGAAUUCCAAGCUGUUGUAGCUUGUAGCAUAUGCAAUUCGUCGAGUCGUUCCUGUCAGUAAAGACGAUUUUCAGUAGGUUCGGAAAAAUCAAGAAUGACAGAUCUUUGAUUAUCAGUUCCGGUA